rnacentral:rRNA from 1 species
AAGUCGAACGGUAACAGGAAACAGCUUGCUGUUUCGCUGACGAGUGGCGGACGGGUGAGUAAUGUCUGGGAAACUGCCUGAUGGAGGGGGAUAACUACUGGAAACGGUAGCUAAUACCGCAUAACGUCGCAAGACCAAAGAGGGGGACCCUCGGGCCUCUUGCCAUCGGAUGUGCCCAGAUGGGAUUAGCUUGUUGGUGGGGUAACGGCUCACCAAGGCGACGAUCCCUAGCUGGUCUGAGAGGAUGACCAGCCACACUGGAACUGAGACACGGUCCAGACUCCUACGGGAGGCAGCAGUGGGGAAUAUUGCACAAUGGGCGCAAGCCUGAUGCAGCCAUGCCGCGUGUAUGAAGAAGGCCUUCGGGUUGUAAAGUACUUUCAGCGGGGAGGAAGGGAGUAAAGUUAAUACCUUUGCUCAUUGACGUUACCCGCAGAAGAAGCACCGGCUAACUCCGUGCCAGCAGCCGCGGUAAUACGGAGGGUGCAAGCGCUAAUCGGAAUUACUGGGCGUAAAGCGCACGCAGGCGGUUUGUUAAGUCAGAUGUGAAAUCCCCGGGCUCAACCUGGGAACUGCAUCUGAUACUGGCAAGCUUGAGUCUCGUAGAGGGGGGUAGAAUUCCAGGUGUAGCGGUGAAACGCGUAGAGAUCUGGAGGAAUACCGGUGGCGAAGGCGGCCCCCUGGACGAAGACUGACGCUCAGGUGCGAAAGCGUGGGGAGCAAACAGGAUUAGAUACCCUGGUAGUCCACGCCGUAAACGAUGUCGACUUGGAGGUUGUGCCCUUGAGGCGUGGCUUCCGGAGCUAA